rnacentral:rRNA from 1 species
GUGCCAGCCGCCGCGGUAAUACGUAGGGGGCGAGCGUUAUCCGGAUUCAUUGGGCGUAAAGCGCGCGUAGGCGGCCCGGCAGGCCGGGGGUCGAAGCGGGGGGCUCAACCCCCCGAAGCCCCCGGAACCUCCGCGGCUUGGGUCCGGUAGGGGAGGGUGGAACACCCGGUGUAGCGGUGGAAUGCGCAGAUAUCGGGUGGAACACCGGUGGCGAAGGCGGCCCUCUGGGCCGAGACCGACGCUGAGGCGCGAAAGCUGGGGGAGCGAACAGGAUUAGAAACCCUGGUAGUCC